UUAAUUGAAGAGUUUGAUCAUGGCUCAGAUUGAACGCUGGCGGCAGGCCUAACACAUGCAAGUCGAGCGGCAGCACAGAGGAACUUGUUCCUUGGGUGGCGAGCGGCGGACGGGUGAGUAAUGCCUGGGAAAUUGCCCGGUAGAGGGGGGAUAACCAUUGGAAACGAUGGCUAAUACCGCAUAACCUCGCAAGAGCAAAGCAGGGGACCUUCGGGCCUUGCGCUACCGGAUAUGCCCAGGUGGGAUUAGCUAG
rnacentral:rRNA from 1 species